UACGUAGGGUGCGAGCGUUAAUCGGAAUUACUGGGCGUAAGGCGUGCGCAGGCGGUUUUGUAAGUCAGAUGUGAAAUCCCCGGGCUUAACCUGGGAACUGCGUUUGAAACUACAAGGCUAGAGUGUGGCAGAGGGGGGUGGAAUUCCACGUGUAGCAGUGAAAUGCGUAGAGAUGUGGAGGAACACCGAUGGCGAAGGCAGCCCCCUGGGUUAACACUGACGCUCAGGCACGAAAGCGUGGGGAGCAAACAGG
rnacentral:rRNA from 1 species